rnacentral:rRNA from 1 species
UGGAAAGAUGAAUCAAAGAAGGUAAUAAUCCUGUAGUCGAAAAUGUUGUCUCUCUUGAGUGGAUCCUGAGUACGACGGAGCACGUGAAAUUCCGUCGGAAUCUGGGAGGACCAUCUCCUAAGGCUAAAUACUCUCUAGUGACCGAUAGUGAACCAGUACCGUGAGGGAAAGGUGAAAAGCACCCCGGAAGGGGAGUGAAAUAGAACCUGAAACCGUGUGCUUACAAGUAGUCAGAGCCCGUUAAUGGGUGAUGGCGUGCCUUUUGUAGAAUGAACCGGCGAGUUACGAUUUGAUGCAAGGUUAAGCAGUAAAUGUGGAGCCGUAGCGAAAGCGAGUCUGAAUAGGGCGUUUAGUAUUUGGUCGUAGACCCGAAACCAGGUGAUCUACCCUUGGUCAGGUUGAAGUUCAGGUAACACUGAAUGGAGGACCGAACCGACUUACGUUGAAAAGUGAGCGGAUGAACUGAGGGUAGCGGAGAAAUUCCAAUCGAACCUGGAGAUAGCUGGUUCUCUCCGAAAUAGCUUUAGGGCUAGCCUCAAGUGAUGAUUAUUGGAGGUAGAGCACUGUUUGGACGAGGGGCCCCUCUCGGGUUACCGAAUUCAGACAAACUCCGAAUGCCAAUUAAUUUAACUUGGGAGUCAGAACAUGGGUGAUAAGGUCCGUGUUCGAAAGGGAAACAGCCCAGACCACCAGCUAAGGUCCCAAAAUAUAUGUUAAGUGGAAAAGGAUGUGGCGUUGCCCAGACAACUAGGAUGUUGGCUUAGAAGCAGCCAUCAUUUAAAGAGUGCGUAAUAGCUCACUAGUCGAGUGACACUGCGCCGAAAAUGUACCGGGGCUAAACAUAUUACCGAAGCUGUGGAUUGUCCUUUGGACAAUGGUAGGAGAGCGUUCUAAGGGCGUUGAAGCAUGAUCGUAAGGACAUGUGGAGCGCUUAGAAGUGAGAAUGCCGGUGUGAGUAGCGAAAGACGGGUGAGAAUCCCGUCCACCGAUUGACUAAGGUUUCCAGAGGAAGGCUCGUCCGCUCUGGGUUAGUCGGGUCCUAAGCUGAGGCCGACAGGCGUAGGCGAUGGAUAACAGGUUGAUAUUCCUGUACCACCUAUAAUCGUUUUAAUCGAUGGGGGGACGCAGUAGGAUAGGCGAAGCGUGCGAUUGGAUUGCACGUCUAAGCAGUAAGGCUGAGUAUUAGGCAAAUCCGGUACUCAUUAAGGCUGAGCUGUGAUGGGGAGAAGACAUUGUGUCUUCGAGUCGUUGAUUUCACACUGCCGAGAAAAGCCUCUAGAUAGAAAAUAGGUGCCCGUACCGCAAACCGACACAGGUAGUCAAGAUGAGAAUUCUAAGGUGAGCGAGCGAACUCUCGUUAAGGAACUCGGCAAAAUGACCCCGUAACUUCGGGAGAAGGGGUGCUCUUUAGGGUUAACGCCCAGAAGAGCCGCAGUGAAUAGGCCCAAGCGACUGUUUAUCAAAAACACAGGUCUCUGCUAAACCGUAAGGUGAUGUAUAGGGGCUGACGCCUGCCCGGUGCUGGAAGGUUAAGAGGAGUGGUUAGCUUCUGCGAAGCUACGAAUCGAAGCCCCAGUAAACGGCGGCCGUAACUAUAACGGUCCUAAGGUAGCGAAAUUCCUUGUCGGGUAAGUUCCGACCCGCACGAAAGGCGUAACGAUUUGGGCACUGUCUCAACGAGAGACUCGGUGAAAUCAUAGUACCUGUGAAGAUGCAGGUUACCCGCGACAGGACGGAAAGACCCCGUGGAGCUUUACUGUAGCCUGAUAUUGAAAUUCGGCACAGCUUGUACAGGAUAGGUAGGAGCCUUUGAAACGUGAGCGCUAGCUUACGUGGAGGCGCUGGUGGGAUACUACCCUAGCUGUGUUGGCUUUCUAACCCGCACCACUUAUCGUGGUGGGAGACAGUGUCAGGCGGGCAGUUUGACUGGGGCGGUCGCCUCCUAAAAGGUAACGGAGGCGCUCAAAGGUUCCCUCAGAAUGGUUGGAAAUCAUUCAUAGAGUGUAAAGGCAUAAGGGAGCUUGACUGCGAGACCUACAAGUCGAGCAGGGUCGAAAGACGGACUUAGUGAUCCGGUGGUUCCGCAUGGAAGGGCCAUCGCUCAACGGAUAAAAGCUACCCCGGGGAUAACAGGCUUAUCUCCCCCAAGAGUUCACAUCGACGGGGAGGUUUGGCACCUCGAUGUCGGCUCAUCGCAUCCUGGGGCUGUAGUCGGUCCCAAGGGUUGGGCUGUUCGCCCAUUAAAGCGGUACGCGAGCUGGGUUCAGAACGUCGUGAGACAGUUCGGUCCCUAUCCGUCGUGGGCGUAGGAAAUUUGAGAGGAGCUGUCCUUAGUACGAGAGGACCGGGAUGGACAUACCUCUGGUGUACCAGUUGUCGUGCCAACGGCAUAGCUGGGUAGCUAUGUGUGGACGGGAUAAGUGCUGAAAGCAUCUAAGCAUGAAGCCCCCCUCAAGAUGAGAUUUCCCAACUUCGGUUAUAAGAUCCCUCAAAGAUGAUGAGGUUAAUAGGUUCGAGGUGGAAGCAUGGUGACAUGUGGAGCUGACGAAUACUAAUCGAUCGAAGACUUAAUCAA